CCUACGGGAGGCAGCAGUGGGGAAUAUUGCACAAUGGGCGCAAGCCUGAUGCAGCCAUGCCGCGUGUAUGAAGAAGGCCUUCGGGUUGUAAAGUACUUUCAGCGAGGAGGAAGGCAUUAAGGUUAAUAACCUUAGUGAUUGACGUUACUCGCAGAAGAAGCACCGGCUAACUCCGUGCCAGCAGCCGCGGUAAU
rnacentral:rRNA from 1 species